rnacentral:rRNA from 1 species
UACGGGGGGGGGCAAGCGUUGUUCGGAAUUACUGGGCGUAAAGGGCUCGUAGGCGGCCAACUAAGUCGGAUGUGAAAUCCCUCAGCUCAACUGGGGAACUGCGUCUGAUACUGGUUGGCUUGAGUGCAGGAGAGGAACGCGGAAUUCCAGGUGUAGCGGUGAAAUGCGUAGAUAUCUGGAGGAACACCGGUGGCGAAGGCGGCGUUCUGGACUGUAACUGACACUGAUGAACGAAAGCCAGGGGAGCAAACGGG